UCGGAGAGUUUGAUCCUGGCUCAGGACGAACGCUGGCGGCGUGCCUAAUACAUGCAAGUCGAGCGAACAGAAGGGAGCUUGCUCCCGGAUGUUAGCGGCGGACGGGUGAGUAACACGUGGGUAACCUGCCUGUAAGACUGGGAUAACUCCGGGAAACCGGAGCUAAUACCGGAUAGUUCCUUGAACCGCAUGGUUCAAGGAUGAAAGACGGUUUCGGCUGUCACUUACAGAUGGACCCGCGGCGCAUUAGCUAGUUGGUGGGGUAAUGGCUCACCAAGGCGACGAUGCGUAGCCGACCUGAGAGGGUGAUCGGCCACACUGGGACUGAGACACGGCCCAGACUCCUACGGGAGGCAGCAGUAGGGAAUCUUCCGCAAUGGACGAAAGUCUGACGGAGCAACGCCGCGUGAGUGAUGAAGGUUUUCGGAUCGUAAAGCUCUGUUGUUAGGGAAGAACAAGUGCGAGAGUAACUGCUCGCACCUUGACGGUACCUAACCAGAAAGCCACGGCUAACUACGUGCCAGCAGCCGCGGUAAUACGUAGGUGGCAAGCGUUGUCCGGAAUUAUUGGGCGUAAAGGGCUCGCAGGCGGUUUCUUAAGUCUGAUGUGAAAGCCCCCGGCUCAACCGGGGAGGGUCAUUGGAAACUGGGAAACUUGAGUGCAGAAGAGGAGAGUGGAAUUCCACGUGUAGCGGUGAAAUGCGUAGAGAUGUGGAGGAACACCAGUGGCGAAGGCGACUCUCUGGUCUGUAACUGACGCUGAGGAGCGAAAGCGUGGGGAGCGAACAGGAUUAGAU
rnacentral:rRNA from 1 species